CCUACGGGGGGCAGCAGUGGGGAAUAUUGGGCAAUGGGGGCAACCCUGACCCAGCAACGCCGCGUGAGGGAAGAAGGAUUUCGGUUUGUAAACUUCUAUUAUCAAGGACGAAAGAAAUGACGGUACCUAAUGAAUAAGCCACGGCUAACUACGUGCCAGCAGCCGCGGUAAUACGUAGGUGGCAAGCGUUAUCCGGAUUUACUGGGUGUAAAGGGCGUGUAGGCGGGACUGCAAGUCAGAUGUGAAACCCAUGGGCUCAACCCAUGGCCUGCAUUUGAAACUGUAGGGCUUGAGUGAAGGAGAGGCAGGCGGAAUUCCGUGUGUAGCGGUGAAAUGCGUAGAUAUACGGAGGAACACCAGUGGCGAAGGCGGCCUGCUGGACAUUAACUGACGCUGAGGCGCGAAAGCGUGGGGAGCAAACAGGAUUAGAUACCCGUGUAGUC
rnacentral:rRNA from 1 species